rnacentral:rRNA from 1 species
GACGUAGGGCGCAAGCGUUGUCCGGAUUUAUUGGGCGUAAAGAGCUCGUAGGCGGCUCGUUGCGUCGGCUGUGAAAACCCGCAGCUCAACUGUGGGCUUGCAGCCGAUACGGGCAGACUAGAGUGUAGUAGGGGAGACUGGAAUUCCUGGUGUAGCGGUGAAAUGCGCAGAUAUCAGGAGGAACACCGAUGGCGAAGGCAGGUCUCUGGGCCACUACUGACGCUGAGACGCGAAAGCGUGGGGAGCGAACAGG